UACGAAGGGGGCUAGCGUUGUUCGGAAUUACUGGCGUAAAGCGCGCGCAGGCGGUCUUCCAAGUCAGUGGUGAAAGCCCGGAGCUCAACUCCGGAACUGCCAUUGAAACUGUUGGACUUGAGUACGAGAGAGGUGAGUGGAAUUCCCAGUGUAGAGGUGAAAUUCGUAGAUAUUGGGAAGAACACCGGUGGCGAAGGCGGCUCACUGGCUCGUAACUGACGCUCAGGCGCGACAGCGUGGGGAGUCAAACAGG
rnacentral:rRNA from 1 species